CCACAUCACAUUGAAACUGGUUUCUGCAGGUUCACCAAAGUUAAGCAAUGUUGCGCUUGGUCAGUACCUAGAUGGGUGACUGUUUGGGAACACCAGGUGCUGUAAG